CUGUGCUAAUACCGCAUACCGCCCUGGAGGGGAAAGCGGGGGAUCGAAAGACCUCGCGCGAUUAGAGCGGCCGAUGCCUGAUUAGCUUGUUGGUGGGGUAAAAGCCCACCAAGGCGACGAUCAGUAGCUGGUCUGAGAGGACGAUCAGCCACACUGGGACUGAGACACGGCCCAGACUCCUACGGGAGGCAGCAGNGGGAAUUUUGGACAAUGGGGAAACCCUGAUCCAGCCAUGCCGCGUGUGUGAAGAAGGCCUUCGGGUUGUAAAGCACUUUUGUUGGGGAAGAAAAGCAGCCAGUUAAUACCUGGUUGUUCUGACGGUACCCAAAGAAUAAGCACCGGCUAACUUCGUG
rnacentral:rRNA from 1 species